rnacentral:rRNA from 1 species
UACGUAGAGUGCAAGCGUUGUCCGGAAUUAUUGGGCGUAAAGAGCUCGUAGGCGGUUCGUCACGUCGGCUGUGAAAACCUGAGGCUCAACCUCAGGCCUGCAGUCGAUACGGGCGGACUUGAGUACUGCAGGGGAGACUGGAAUUCCUGGUGUAGCGGUGAAAUGCGCAGAUAUCAGGAGGAACACCGGUGGCGAAGGCGGGUCUCUGGGCAGUAACUGACGCUGGAGGAGCGAAAGCGUGGGGAGCGAACAGG